GAGUUUGAUCCUGGCUCAGAACGAACGCUGGCGGCGUGCCUUAUACAUGCAAGUCGAGCGAGGGCGCAGCAAUGCGAACCGAGCGGCGAACGGGUGAGUAACGCGUGAACAACCUGCCCCAAAGUCCGGGAUAGCCCUUCCAACGGAGGAUUAAUACCGGAUGGCGAGGGUUCCCGCAUGGGAGCCUAUCCAAAGUCUUGGCGCUAUGGGAGGGGUUCGCGUCUGAUUAGCUAGUUGGCGGGGCAACGGCCCACCAAGGCGACGAUCGGUAGCCGGCCUGAGAGGGCGAACGGCCACAAUGGGACUGAGAUACGGCCCAUACUCCUACGGGAGGCAGCAGUAGGGAAUAUUGCGCAAUGGACGGAAGUCUGACGCAGCAACGCCACGUGUGGGACGAAGCCUUUCGGGGUGUAAACCACUGUCAGCGGGGACUAGUAAGCGGGGCAACCCGUCGCGAAUGUACCCGCAGAGGAAGCACCGGCAAACUUCGUGCCAGCAGCCGCGGUAACACGAGGGGUGCGAGCGUUGUUCGGAAUCACUGGGCGUAAAGGGAGCGUAGGCGGAACGCCAAGCCGGAAGUCUAAUGCCGGGGCCCAACCCCGGCGCCGCUUUCGGAACUGGCGUCCUUGAGUGUGCGAAGGGUCGGCGGAAUUCCUGGUGUAGCGGUGGAAUGCGUAGAUAUCAGGAAGGACACCGGUGGCGAAGGCGGCCGACUGGCGCGACACUGACGCUGAGGCUCGAAAGCGUGGGGAGCGAACAGGAUUAGAUACCCUGGUAGUCCACGCCGUAAACGAUGUCUGCUGGGCGCUUGGGAGCGAUCCUGGGUGCCGUAGCCAACGCGAUAAGCAGACCGCCUGGGGAGUACGCCCGCAAGGGUGAAACUCAAAGGAAUUGACGGGGGCCCGCACAAGCGGUGGAGCAUGUGGUUUAAUUCGACGCAACGCGAGGAACCUUACCAGGGCUUGACAUGGAAUCGCCGCGGCGGGAGACCGCCGUUUGCCGCAAGGCACGGUUCACACAGGUGCUGCAUGGCUGUCGUCAGCUCGUGCCGUGAGGUGUUGGGUUAAGUAAAAGCAACGAGCGCAACCCCCACCCCCAGUUGCCAUCCGCAAGGAGGCUCUCCGGGGGGACCGCCGCGGACAACGCGGAGGAAGGCGGGGACGACGUCAAGUCAUCAUGGCCCUUACGUCCUGGGCUACACACGUGCUACAAUGGUCGGCACAAUGGGCAGCGAAGGGGCGACCCGGAGCCAAUCCUCAAAGCCGGCCUCAGUUCGGAUUGGAGUCUGCAACCCGACUCCAUGAAGCUGGAAUCGCUAGUAAUCGCGGAUCAGAACGCCGCGGUGAAUACGUUCCCGGGCCUUGUACACACCGCCCGUCAAGCCAUGGAAGGGGAGAGCGCCCGAAGCCGCGCGAGCGUCUAAGGCGAGAUCCCUGACUGGGGCUAAGUCGUAACAAGGUAACC
rnacentral:rRNA from 1 species